rnacentral:lncRNA from 1 species
ACUGGACUCAGCACUGGCACAGAGGCAGCACAGCUAUGUGGGAAGAACACAGGCUGGUCUGCAGGUGUCUAGAUUUGGAUCCUAGCUCUGUUACUUACUACUUUGUGACUUUGAGCAAAUUCACGUCUCUGAAAGAAACAAAGCUCCAAAUUUGGAAGCAGCAGUGAAACUCCACAGAUUACUGAGGGCAAAAUUGCUGGGUCAUAUGGCACCAAGGAAAGGUCUUGUGCUGACACAGGGAGAAAGCUGUCAUUUACAAGCUGGGAGGAGACCUUCACCAGAAACUGAAUUUGCUACCACCUGGAUCAUGAACUUUUACUCUCCAAAACGGAAGGAGGUGAUGAAGAGAGAAAGAAAGGAUGGAAGGAAGGAGGAAGUGGACAAUGAGAUCCUGGCUGAUGGAUGUAAUGAAGGCAUGAACUAUACUAGUUGAACAAGGAAAUGAACUUGAACCAAAUUGUGAAGUUCUCUGCAGUGAAAUAUUAAAGGUACAGAUCAAAGCU